GGAAAAGGGAGAAAAACCUCGGGCGAAAGCGAUGCACAGUUGGACGCAGCGCCUGCUGACCGCGGCAACGACGGCCGCCGUCCUCCUCGCCGCCGUCUGCGCGGCCGCCUCCGCGCUCGACGCCUUCCACGUCCCCGCCGUCCAAGCGCAAGCCCAUGUUACAAAGAUUAACCGGUUCCACAAACAGAUCAAUGGCAACGACAAGGUGACGUUGACCUUCAAUGUAUCUGCAAAUUUGGAGUCACUAUUCACUUGGAACACAAAACAGGUCUUUGUCUUUCUGACAGCUGAGUAUGAAAAUGCGAAAAAUUCACUGAACCAGAUUUCGUUAUGGGACCAUAUUAUACCGGACAAGGAACAUGCAAAUCUGCAACUAGAGGUGAAGAGCAGGUAUCCUCUGAUCGACCAGGGAAGCAGUCUGCGUGGGAAGAAAGUUCACCUUGUUCUCCACUGGUAUGUUAUGCCCAAUGCUGGCGCCAUGACCCAAGGUCGGAUGGCGCUCUCUGAGUUCAAGCUGCCUGAUGCCUAUACCUCUUGAGAGGAAAGCUUACUGAUCUGGGAAGAAUCCUCUUAACGAACAUCCUUCUAAUCUGGCCUCUGCAAUGGGUUGCCAAACGAACGGAGAUCUGAUUCAUAGGAUGCACAUACACAGAUGCAGACCGCAGUGGCGUAUUCAUGGUGUGUAAACUCGGAAUGCAUAUUCGUGGUCUCAGCUGAGCUCAGCAGCCGGGGGUGAGCCACCUAGUUCUUCUUGCAGGGUGGGCCGCAGAUGCCG